CAAUCACAUUUUAUUAAUUGUAUAUGGUUACAGGGGUGAGAAGACUUUGGUUCUUUCAACCCUUAUCCAAAAGACAAACGCCCAGGAAAUGAAGUGGAUUAUCAUGAUAAUCCUGAAAGAUUUGAAGCUAGGAAUUAGUGAAAAAAAGCAUUUUUCAUGAAUUCCAUCCAGAUGCUGAAGACUUGUUUAAUGUUACAUGUGACUUAAAAUUAGUUUGUGAAAAACUAAGGGAUCGGAACCAACGUCAUAAGCGGCAGGAUAUUGAAGUUGGAAAAGCUGUGUGGCCUCAAUUAGCUAAGAGAGUUGCUAACGCUGCUGAAGCAUGGAAGA